rnacentral:lncRNA from 1 species
AGCUAAUAUUCAAUAUCUGUCAAUGUCCAUAUAGUUAAUGACAACUCUACCCUAUGGUGAUUAGUACUCAUGAUUGUAAAUUUUGAAAAUUAUUUUGAAGUCUUGCUGACAGUCUGGCUUUGCUGCUGAAGUUCAAGCUUUACCUUGCCCACAACCCUUGUUCCACAGGACCUGAGUUCAAAAUGUUUCUUGGCAGUUGAUCUUUGUCUUAGAAAAUUCCAGCAAAAUGUUCUGGUGGAGGAAGGUUUUUUGGUGUGGAACAACAGACAUAAACUAUGGAAAUGCACAGAAGUAAAGGCAUUUUUCAGAGAACCAAAGCCUAUCAUCUGGAACAGGAAAGGAGACAUACCUUCAUUGAAUGAGUGAUGAAAAAUACUGUUGGGCAAGUUAGUUGGAGUUGUCGAUUGGGAUUAUGUUCCACAGCCCUUCUCUCAGUGAAAGGCCUUCUUUUCAUGAUCACCUUUACCUGGAAGAGGAGGAUUGACACUUCUGUGUGGAGAGCAGGGAACUAUUGAUUGUCAGGCUUUUUGAGGGUAGAAUGGGAAGUUUGCCUAUAUUGGGUAUACACAGCCCAGCUAUCCUCACAUUCAUUCAAAUGCCAAAGUAAAAACUUUUUGGUGGUACCAGCAUGUACACUAAA